UGUGAACGUCACGGCGCAGACCGGCCAAUGCGGAAGCCACCCUGGGCGGGCGGGGCAGGGUUGCAGUCGCACCUGGAGAGGUCCCGGAGCCACGUACCAGUGUAGUUUCUUGCAGACAUAAGCAUCUAAAUCUGGGCCAGGAUUCAGGCCAACGCUCUGCCACCCUCCUGUGGGUGUGACACAGCAGUUGCCAAAAGGAAAAGGGGAUCAAACUCACGACUUCAUGCUUCCAAGGCAUGUGCUUGUGCCACUGAGCUAAAUCACUGGCCCCCCAGCCUGGUACCCUAUUUAAAAAAGAAAAGAAAAACCAUAUUUCAAGAAAUAAAACCUAAAAAUUAAAAUAAAAAAAUUCUUUUUGGAA